UACGUAGGGACCAAGCGUUGUUCGGAUUUACUGGGCGUAAAGCGCGCGUAGGCGGUUACACAAGUCGGGUGUGAAAGCCCUCGGCUUAACUGAGGAAGUGCAUUCAAAACUGUGCAGCUAGAGUACUAAAGAGGGUCGCGGAAUUCCCGGUGUAGAGGUGAAAUUCGUAGAUAUCAGGAAGAACACCCGUGGCGAAGGCGGCUCUCUGGGACGGUACUGACGCUGAGACGCGAAAGCGUGGGGAGCGAACAGG
rnacentral:rRNA from 1 species